CUUGUCAGAUUUGGAGAGAGAUACUUGGUUACACUUUGUUUUGAUUUUAAAACUCAAAACUACUAAACAUUCUAGACCUUCUAUCGAGAAGAUAAAGCUUCGCUUUGGAAAGACUGUUGUGUGCCACUAAGAGAUCUCUUUUGUCUGUGUUGUCACUGACACAGUAAGGACGAGAUUCUAGGACACCUGAGAUGGACUGAAACACCCCACAAGAGCUGAAGAAUGACAGUGAAAAAUACUGGUCUGCAGUAGGUGGUUAAGGUUUGGAAUAUGAUUAGCAAGCUGUUCAAAAAUACAAAGCUAAGAAUAAAAGAGGCAAUUAAGGUUACAUUCAGGUCUUUCCAGCUGGAUAUGAAACAGCAGUACAUAGAUGCUGCUCUCCCUGCCACUGGAUCUUUCCUUAUAUGCUCAUUAUCUUUAUAAGUUUCAUAUUACAGUUGCAUAUUUAACUAUGAAAAUUAACUAUGAAAAUUUAGAUUUUCCUUUUAACCACCUACAUAUGUAUAGUCAGGACCUGGUCUAGUUUUUUUUCCUGAUCACAGACGAACCGUAUAUGUAAUAUUGGGUCCCACCCUCCCUUUCAUAACUCCCUUUUAUGUUUCUGCUCCUUCCAUACUCACUGGGUUGUCCAGUCCUUCAGGGUCACACCAGACAUCUCAACGGAGAAUCUCAAACAGCAACUGAGUGGUAAUAGGUCCUUAGGUCCUUUAGUUUCCAAUGUCCUACUGACCUCAGCGCUACGGAUGAACCAUUUUGCCUUUCCACCAGCUCUUAGGCGUUCACAGCCCCCUGGAUCGUGUCCUUCACUUCUAGAUAACUUCUUGCAGGUGAGUAUGCACCUCCAAUUGAAUCCAUCUCCCAUCAACAAGAGACAGAAGGAGAACUACUGAUGGAGUACCUCUCUGAGACUCAUAUUUCCCCAAAAGAGACUGGUAUUGUAACUGCCCCCUGCAGACUGCCCUGUCCUGGGGAGCCUGAAGGCCUGCACUCAGCAGUAGGUGUUACUUAUUCUCCUUUUUGCAGAAUCUCAGAAGGUUUCUAAUUGGAUGGUUUGGUUUUGCUGGCCCAUGGAGAAUCUGUGUUUGUUUGUGUGGGUUUCUCUCUCUAUAUGCAUUCAAUAAAAACAGCAGAAUGACACUAGCUAUUCUUAGUUAAGAAUUGGUUAUUGAAUAUAAACACUGAAAAUUCAGAAGGAAAAGAGACUUUUUUUAAGGGUUUUUGAUUAUCUAUAUCCCCACUGUCCCCUAUCACUGUGUCCAGCUUUCUGUGGUUUCUUUCUCUAUUUUCAAAAACAUCUGUAGAGCAGUGAAGGACUUAUGAGGUAACAACCUUCAUCUGUGUGGUUAUACAUUCAAAUGUGACUGCGGAGUAGAAGCCUGAAAUGAAAGGGCUUAUUAAUAACAUUUUUUAUUCAUACAGAAGUAAGAAAAGGCUUCGUCUGUUCAUCCCUUGAUUGUCUUUUUCUUUUCAAUUACCUUUCCUAAAAGGAAGUUUAAUGUUGUCUCUGGAUUCCUGCAGGUCUCCAGUCUAAAAGAAAAGGAAAGAAAACCAAACAAAACACUUUCAUCUUCA